ACACGUACUGCGGGUCCUAUUCGGAAUUCACUAUUAAUCUACAGAAUAAUAUGGUGGAGCUUUUAUUGAUCACUGACGGAACAAACCUACUUCCCGGGUUUGUAAUGGAAUAUAGAAGCAAAAACGUCUACCGCUGUGUUCCAGCUUUAACAGUCCUAACAAACACAUCGGGAUACCUAGAAAUCACACGGGUCAACGACGAGCUCAUGGACUGCACCUGGAGGCUGUCGAUGCCUCAGGGAAAUCUGGUGAAAAUCACUUUCCUCCAGUUCGAUCUGGGGUCUUGUUGCUCCUGUGCCCUGUUUGCACUCAAGGACUCCGCUUGGAG